rnacentral:rRNA from 1 species
CCUACGGGCGGCAGCAGUGAGGAAUAUUGGUCAAUGGACGAGAGGCUGAACCAGCCAAGUAGCGUGAAGGAUGACUGCCCUAUGGGUUGUAAACUUCUUUUAUCGAGGAAUAAAACGAGGCACGUGUGCCUUUUUGCAUGUACUUUAUGAAUAAGGAUCGGCUAACUCCGUGCCAGCAGCCGCGGUAAUACGGAGGAUCCGAGCGUUAUCCGGAUUUAUUGGGUUUAAAGGGAGCGUAGAUGGGUGGUGAAGUCAGUUGUGAAAGUUUGCGGCUCAACCGUAUAAUUGCAAUUGAUACUGGAUGUCUUGAGUGCAGGUGAGGUAGGCGGAAUGCGUGGUGUAGCGGUGAAAUGCUUAGAUAUCACGCAGAACCCCGAUUGCGAAGGCAGCUUACUAAACUGUGACUGACAUUGAUGCACGAAAGUGUGGGUAUCAAACAGGAUUAGAUACCCCUGUAGUC